AUUGACCGCUGGCGGCAGGCCUAACACAUGCAAGUCGAACGAGUGGCGGACGGGUGAGUAAUGUCUGGGAAACUGCCUGAUGGAGGGGGAUAACUACUGGCAACGGUAGCUAAUACCGCAUACCAUCAGAUGUGCCCAGAUGGGAUUAGCUUGUUGGCGGGGUAACGGCUCACCACGGCGACGAUCCCUAGCUGGUCUGAGAGGAUGACCAGUCACAAGGGAACGGAGAAACGUGCCAGACUCCUACGGGAGGCAUCAGUGGGGAAUAUUGCACAAUGGGCGAAAGCCUGAUGCAGCCAUGCCGCGUGUAUGAAGAAGGCCUUCGGGUUGUAAAGCACUUUCAGCGGGGAGGCGUUACCCGCAGAAGAAGCACCGGCUAACUCCGUGCCAGCAGCCGCGGUAAUUC
rnacentral:rRNA from 1 species